CACAUCACACAUUCAUAUCGCAUAAUAAUGGCUUGUAAUCAGUAGCAUAUUUGAGCAUAGCGGCUAUGUAAACUUGAUUUUAAUAAAUCAAAAUAUAAAAGCAGCCUGGCUUCAUUGGCCUUAAGUGCCUUUUUAUACAAACACCACAAAAUGCAUUCGCUGGGUAUGUAAUAAUUGAAGAAUUUUUUAGUUGUUUACAAAAUAUUCCACAUAUAGGCACGAGUCUCGUGAAUAGGGAACGGGCGAUUCUAUUGGACAGUUGCUCUCACGGAUUAACGGAGCGAAUCAUUAGGGAAUGGAGUCGUGAGUGUUGAGUGUUUUUUCGAGUUGGAUAGUGGGAAAGCGAAAAGUUAAUGAAAACCUGCAGAAUUACACCACGAUGUCUCAGGCUAAGGAUCUUGGUCUUGGCCAUGCUGGUGUUUGAAGGUGCUGGCAUACGAUGCUAUGUUUGCAGUGGUACAAAGGCGUACUGUGAUGCUAAAAGCUUCUACACUGAAUGCUCAAUAAAAUACUUCCAUGACACGUGCUACAAGGAGGUCCCCUACAAUAGUACAGACGACCGUGUCACCAAGCUAUGUCAUACUAGAGGCGAUUGUUCGCGGGCCAGGCAGAGAUGUUUAGAGUCCAGGAAAUGCGAGGUGUUUUGUUGUUACAAAGAUCUGUGCAAUGGUGGCCUUGACGUCAGACCGGGAUACCUGUGGAACUUUGCUAUUACCAUAUCAGUCGUUGUAUGGCUGCAUAAGUUCAAGAAUUAGUUGUACCUGAGGGAUAUUGCGGUUACACUCGCGUUGUUAAAAAGGUUUGAUAUAUUCAAGUGAUCCAAACGGAACAUCACCAGAAUCUGUUAACAGUAAAUCCCCAUGAGUAAAAGACUGUCGGAGGUAGGCUAAACAGAGUCGAGUUUAGACUAAACAAAGUCGAGUUAGGCUAAACAGAGUCGAGUUAGGCUAAACAGAGUCGAGUUAGGCUAGACAGAGUCGAGGUAGGCUAAACAGAGUCGAGGUAGGCUAAACAGAGUCGAGUUAGGCUAGACAAAGUCAAGUUAGGCUUAACAGAGUCGAGUGAAGCGAAGUAGAGUCGAGUUAGGCUAGACAAAGUCGAGUUAGGCUAGACGAAGUCGAGUUAGGCUAGACAAAGUCGAGUUAGGCAAAACAUAUUCGAGUGAAGCUAAACAGAGUCGAGUAAGGCUUGACAGAGUCGAUUGAAGCUAAGUAGAGUCGAGUCUAGGCUAAACAGAGUAGAGUUAGGCUGGACAGAGUCGAGUGAAGCGAAGUAGAGUCGAGUUAGGCUAAACAGAGUAGAGUUAGGCUAAACAGAGUCGAGUGAAGCUAAACAGAGUCGAGUCUAGGCUAAACAGAGUAGAGUUAGGCUGGACAGAGUCGAGUGAAGCUAAGUAGAGUCGAGUCUAGGCUUAACACAGUCGAGUUAGGCUAAACAGAGUCGAGUGAAGCUAAACAGAGUCGAGUGAAGCUAAACAGAGUCGAGUGAAGCUAAACAGAGUCGAGUGAAGCUAAACAGAGUCGAGUGAAGCUAAACAGAGUCGAGUGAAGCUAAACAGAGUCGAGUGAAGCUAAACAGAGUCGAGUUAGGCUAGACAAAGUCGAGUUAGGCUAGACGAAGUCGAGUUAGGCUAGACAAAGUCGAGUUAGGCAGAACAUAUUCGAGUGAAGCUAAACAGAGUCGAGUAAGGCUGGACAGAGUCGAUUGAAGCUAAGUAGAGUCGAGUCUAGGCUAAACAGAGUAGAGUUAGGCUGGACAGAGUCGAGUGAAGCUAAAAAGAGUCGAGCCUAGGCUAAACAGAGUAGAGUUAGGCUGGACAGAGUCGAGUGAAGCUAAACAGAGUCGAGUGAAGCUAAACAGAGUCGAGUUAGGCUAAACAGAGUCGCGUUAGGCUAGACUAGGUAGGGAGGGAGAGGAGUUAACAUAAUUAUUAUAGAGAUUUUUUCCUCCAUAAGAAGGAAGGUUUUUUGGCCAUUCCAAAAAAAGGGGGUGAUUGAGGACAUGGUAUUUCGUACGCUAUAAAUUUUCCUUUGAGACCUA